rnacentral:rRNA from 1 species
UACGGAGGGUGCAAGCGUUAUCCGGAUUUAUUGGGUUUAAAGGGUGCGUAGGCGGCCUGGUAAGUCAGUGGUGAAAAUCUGCAGCUCAACUGUAGACGUGCCAUUGAAACUGUCGGGCUUGAGUGGCCAUGAGGAAGGCGGAAAGUGUAGUGUAGCGGUGAAAUGCUUAGAUAUUACACAGAACACCGAUUGCGUAGGCAGCUUUCUAAAGGUAAACUGACGCUGAUGCACGAAAGCGCGGGGAUCGAACAGG